CCUACGGGAGGCAGCAGUAGGGAAUUUUGCGCAAUGGGCGAAAGCCUGACGCAGCCACGCCGCGUGAUCGAGACGCCCUUCGGGGUGGAAAGAUCUGUCAGUGGGGACGAAACUUGACGGUACCCACAGAGGAAGCACCGGCUAACUCCGUGCCAGCAGCCGCGGUAAUACGGCGGGUGCAAGCGUUGUCCGGAAUCAUUGGGCGUAAAGAGUUCGUAGGCGGCACGUAAAGUCUGGUGUGAAAGGCAGAGGCUCAACUUCUGUACGGCACUGGAUACUUGCGAGCUAGAAUGCGGUAGAGGGAAAGGGAAUUCCUGGUGUAGCGGUGAAAUGCGUAGAGAUCAGGAGGAACAUCGGUGGCGUAAGCGCUUUACUGGGCCGUAAUUGACGCUGAGGAGCGAAAGCGAGGGUAGCAAAUGGGAUUAGAUACCCCAGUAGUC
rnacentral:rRNA from 1 species